rnacentral:rRNA from 1 species
GUGCCUAUAAUGCAAGUCGAGCGAACGGAUAAGGAGCUUGCUCCUUUGAAGUUAGCGGCGGACGGGUGAGUAACACGUGGGUAACCUACCUAUAAGACUGGAAUAACUUCGGGAAACCGGAGCUAAUGCCGGAUAACAUAUAGAACCGCAUGGUUCUAUAGUGAAAGAUGGUUUUGCUAUCACUUAUAGAUGGACCCGCGCCGUAUUAGCUAGUUGGUAAGGUAAUGGCUUACCAAGGCGACGAUACGUAGCCGACCUGAGAGGGUGAUCGGCCACACUGGAACUGAGACACGGUCCAGACUCCUACGGGAGGCAGCAGUAGGGAAUCUUCCGCAAUGGGCGAAAGCCUGACGGAGCAACGCCGCGUGAGUGAUGAAGGUUUUCGGAUCGUAAAACUCUGUUAUUAGGGAAGAACAAAUGCGUAAGUAACUGUGCGCAUCUUGACGGUACCUAAUCAGAAAGCCACGGCUAACUACGUGCCAGCAGCCGCGGUAAUACGUAGGUGGCAAGCGUUAUCCGGAAUUAUUGGGCGUAAAGCGCGCGUAGGCGGUUUCUUAAGUCUGAUGUGAAAGCCCACGGCUCAACCGUGGAGGGUCAUUGGAAACUGGGAAACUUGAGUGCAGAAGAGGAAAGUGGAAUUCCAUGUGUAGCGGUGAAAUGCGCAGAGAUAUGGAGGAACACCAGUGGCGAAGGCGACUUUCUGGUCUGUAACUGACGCUGAUGUGCGAAAGCGUGGGGAUCAAACAGGAUUAGAUACCCUGGUAGUCCACGCCGUAAACGAUGAGUGCUAAGUGUUAGGG